GGGAAGGACAAACCUCAAGUUUGAUGAAACUUUGGUAAUCAGUACAAUUUUCUCUUCAAGGACUUUGUAAACAGCAUUCAUCCUUCAAAAAAUUCUUUCUCUUUGUGAUUUAUUUUAUAAACCUAAAGGAAAAAGAGAAAGUCAGCAGUUCCAGCAUUUGCUAUAGUGGUGUCCUAAUGGUUUCUAGCUUUGGACCACUGACAUUUACCAAGACAAAUCACUGUGAGAUAGGAUCCUGCAGAGGCAGCUCUGGGCCCGGCCUCCCUGGGCAGGACUUCUCGGUGCUCUUAGAAUUCUGAAUUGGCCCCAGCAGCACCCUUUAGGACAACAAAGGAUGCUAAGACGGUCUGUUCUGACAUCUGCACUGUGGCAGAGUUCGGUUACAGGGUGUUAUUUACAGCUGCCAAAUGCUAGAAGCUCCCACGCCUCCGACAGCCCCAAUUUGGAAAGUGGAGGCCUUGAUUUACCAGUGAAUUUGGGUGAAUUCAGUCCUUAUCUCCCAAGUGUCAGUUCUCACCAAGUCUUAUUUUUCCCAAGCCACUUCUGAAAACUGCUGUUGGUCUGGAUAUUUCAGUCCACAUUGCUGCAGAAGCUCCUGUUAGAAAAGUGUAAUUAAUAGGAAACUUUGACAUCCAGCUGAGAAAAUUAGUUU
rnacentral:lncRNA from 1 species